rnacentral:tmRNA from 1 species
GGGGUCGUACAGGGUUCGACGGGGAUUUUGAAGCAUAAGGAGCGAGCAGCGUUGGAUUACGCUUUAAAAAGUCCAAACUAAAUAUAAACGCUAACAAUAACUUAGCAUACGCUGCCUAAUUAAAGGCAGCCGUUCUUACUAGGGCUACCGCACCUUAGAUAAGAGCGUCAUUUAGCGGUGCACAUGAGUGAGCAAAGCUUUGAGCUCACCAGGUAUAAUGAAGCUACCAAAGCUAUAAGUUUGUUUGUGAACUUAUAGCCGAGGGAAUUUUCAAUCACAAACUGCGCUCGGAGAGCCUUAUGUGAAUAGAUUUUCGGACAGGAGUUCAAUUCUCCUCGACUCCAUAA